rnacentral:rRNA from 1 species
CCCCAGACUCCUACGGGAGGCAGCAGUGAGGAAUAUUGGUCAAUGGGCGAGAGCCUGAUCCAGCCAAGUCGCGUGAGGGAGGACGGCCCUACGGGUUGUAAACCUCUUUUGCCGGGGGACAAACGGCGGCACGCGUGCCGUCCUGAGGGUACCCGGAGAAAAAGCAUCGGCUAACUCCGUGCCAGCAGCCGCGGUAAUACGGAGGAUGCGAGCGUUAUCCGGAUUUAUUGGGUUUAAAGGGUGCGCAGGCGGAGGUGCAAGUCAGCGGUCAAAUUGCGGGGCUCAACCCCGUACUGCCGUUGAAACUGCAUCCCUUGAGUGCGCGAGAAGUAUGCGGAAUGCGUGGUGUAGCGGUGAAAUGCAUAGAUAUCACGCAGAACUCCGAUUGCGAAGGCAGCCUACUAAACUGCCACUGACAUUGAUGCUCGAAAGUGUGGGUAUCAAACAGGAUUAGAUACCCCAGUAU